rnacentral:rRNA from 1 species
GGAUGCGAUCAUACCAGCACUAACGCACCGGAUUCCAUCAGAACUCCGAAGCUAAGCGUGCUUGGGUGAGAGUAGUACUAGGAUGGGUGACCCCCUGGGAAGUCCUCAUGUUGCAUCCC